UACGUAGGGGGCUAGCGUUGUUCGGAAUUACUGGGCGUAAAGCGCGCGUAGGCGGUCCUGCAAGUCGGGGGUGAAAGCCCGAGGCUCAACCUCGGAACUGCCUUCGAUACUGCGGGUCUCGAGUCCGGGAGAGGUGAGUGGAAUUCCUAGUGUAGAGGUGAAAUUCGUAGAUAUUAGGAAGAACACCAGUGGCGAAGGCGGCUCACUGGCCCGGUACUGACGCUGAGGCGCGAAAGCGUGGGGAGCAAACAGG
rnacentral:rRNA from 1 species